CAACUUUCAACAACGGAUCUCUUGGCUCUCGCAUCGAUGAAGAAACGCAGCAAAAUGCGAUACGUAAUGUGAAUUGCAGAAUUCAGUGAAUCAUCGAAUCUUUGAACGCACCUUGCGCCCCUUGGUAUUCCGAGGGGCACACCCGUUUG
rnacentral:rRNA from 1 species